rnacentral:rRNA from 1 species
UACGUAGGUGGCAAGCGUUGUCCGGAAUUAUUGGGCGUAAAGCGCGCGCAGGCGGUCCUUUAAGUCUGAUGUGAAAGCCCACGGCUCAACCGUGGAGGGUCAUUGGAAACUGGGGGACUUGAGUACAGAAGAGAAGAGUGGAAUUCCACGUGUAGCGGUGAAAUGCGUAGAGAUGUGGAGGAACACCAGUGGCGAAGGCGACUCUUUGGUCUGUCACUGACGCUGAGGCGCGAAAGCGUGGGGAGCAAACAGG